rnacentral:tRNA from 1 species
GCGCCUGUAGCUCAGGUGGAUAGAGCAACAGCCUUCUAAGCUGUGGGCCAGAGGUUCGAGUCCUCUCAGGCGCGCC